AAUGCUCGCAAGAGUGAACUAGCUAACUGGAAUCAUGAGUGUGUCACUUGUGAUAAGGUAAAGGAAAAAUUAUGAUGUCACUUUACUAUUAGUGUUGUCCAAAGCUGGUGCCAGAAGACUCGGUAAGGCCAGAGACGCAAGCGUUAGUCAUCCUGAUCAGGCGUAAAGGGUUUGUAGGCAGCUUUAAAUUAAUUAAAGAUAGAAUCAUAUAGAGGUCACAGUCAGAUAAUUCUUAGAGUAGGGUUGAUAUCUGUAGAUACUAAGAGGAAUACUUAUUAGCGAAGGCACUUUUCCAAAUUAUGAUUGACGCUGAGAAACGAAGGGGAGGAUAGAUAAUAGGAUUAGAUACCCUGGUAUUCCUCUCUGUCAACGAUGAAUGGUAGUUGCUAGUAUACUAUAUUAGUGGCGAUGCUAACGCGUUAACCAUUCCGCCUUGUGAGUACGAUUGCAAAAUUGAAAACAAAAAAAUUAGUCGGUUUCGG
rnacentral:rRNA from 1 species